rnacentral:rRNA from 1 species
UGCAAGUCGAGCGCGAAGCAGUCUUCGGACUGUGGAAAGCGGCGGACGGGUGCGUAACACGUGGGAAGCUACCUUGAAGUGGGGGAUAGCCAUUGGAAACGAUGGGUAAUACCGCAUACGCCCGAAAGGGGAAAGAUUUAUCGCUUCAAGAUGUGCCCGCGGAAGAUUAGCUUGUUGGUGAGGUAACGGCUCACCAAGGCGACGAUCUUUAGCUGGUCUGAGAGGACGAUCAGCCACACUGGAACUGAGACACGGUCCAGACUCCUACGGGAGGCAGCAGUGGGGAAUCUUGCACAAUGGGCGAAAGCCUGAUGCAGCCAUGCCGCGUGCGUGAUGGAGGCCUUCGGGUUGUAAAGCGCUUUUAGGUGCGACGAUGAUGACGGUAACACCAGAAAAAGCCCCGGCUAACUUCGUGCCAGCAGCCGCGGUAAUACGAAGGGGGCAAGCGUUGUUCGGAUUUACUGGGCGUAAAGGGCGUGUAGGCGGAUGAUAUAGUUAGAGGUGAAAGCCCAGGGCUCAACCUUGGAACUGCCUUUAAUACUUAUCAUCUAGAGUUUGUGAGAGGGUGGCGGAAUAUCCAGUGUAGAGGUGAAAUUCGUAGAUAUUGGAUAGAAUACCAGUGGCGAAGGCGGCCACCUGGCACAACACUGACGCUGAGGCGCGAAAGCGUGGGGAGCAAACAGGAUUAGAUACCCUGGUAGUCCACGCCGUAAACGAUGUAUGCUAGUUGUCGGGUUAUUUUUAACUCGGUGACGCAGCUAACGCAUUAAGCAUACCGCCUGGGGAGUACGGUCGCAAGAUUAAACUCAAAGGAAUUGACG